AGAAACUGGAGGCGGCUGGGGGUACGAGCAUGGAUGGCUGCGGUAAUGGGGCUUCUGCGUGAGAAGCGGAGUGGUUUUCGCAGCCGGUAAAAUGUUCUCGCGAACAGCCUUCCAGCGUAGAUGCGGUCGUUUGAAUAUCCUGUAGGCCCAGGUAGUGGUUCUGCAGCAGUGGCUUCAAUGUGGAAACUGCUCCGUAAUUAACAGUAGUAAUAAAUGUAUGCAAUUAAUUUGAAUUGAGUUGACAGGAGCAGAAACCUCAGAACAUCUCAUACCAGCUUUCAGUCGGUUAAAGCAUUUAUUAGUCGGGCGCAGCACACCUAAAUAAGUGGUGUUGCCUAUGCGAGGAGCACGAGCACGUAUUUAGAAUCACAAAGUCAUUUAGGCUGGAAAAUACCUUUAAGAUCAUAGAGUCCAACCGUAUUUGUUCAGCUCAUCAAUCGAGCUUGCUUUCUUUUUAUCCCUUGUUCUUGCCAAGUUUCUUCUGCUUCCUAGUCUGUAAUUCUGGUCUUGCAGAUGCAGUGUUUUUGGUGAGAGUGAGCCCUGCUAAAUAGAACUUUUGCAUGAAAUCUUGGCAGGGAAGGCCACAAUUACCUGGCGUGAAGAGUUUCUCUAGAAAUAGCAGGUGUUUUGCCCAUGUGAAGUGUGAAUUGGGGAAAGAAGGGAGUGUUUUAGAAGCAUUGUGGAGAUCCAGGAAUGAAACUGGCAAAAGUGAUAGCAGCAGCUACCAGAUGACCUUGUGUCCUUCCAAUGUUUUGUUGGUCUUCAGAAUUUUAGUUGUCUUAUGCUUACCUCUCUGGAGUUGGAUAUCUUUUGUCAUUCAAUCUAUCCAUACUUCUCUUUCUCUUUUUUGGGCUCUUUAACUUCAUAUUUUCCUCUCGGUAGUCAGGUAAGAAUAACUCCAUCAUGGUUCAAUUGCAAAAUAAAUCGGUGCAUUCCUGAACUCUGUGUCAAAAUCCUGUCAGCAGUGCUGAACUCUUUUAUAAUUUUUACAAUUCCUGCUUAAAAUAUUUUAAGCCUAAUUCUAAUUUUUAGUAUUCUCGCAGUGCAUAGCUGUAAUUACAUCGUGAAUCUUAAAGGGAAUGCUAAUGGAACUUUAACUAGCCUUAAACUGAAAGAGCUUUGUGUAGUGUCAUUAAUGUAAAUGAGCAUCCAACUCUGUGUGUUCAGUUUUUCUAUACAGCACUCAGCAGAUGCAUUGCCAGAUGCAUGUUUUUAGAUUUAACACCCUAUUUCUCAGACCUAGUUUACAACUUAGUAGAAACCAGUUGUUAACACUAAGAUAUGUUUCAGACAUCCUUUCAACUUGAACUUCAGUUCAAGUAAUAGGAAGUUACUUCAGUAAUAGGAAGAAAAAUGAUCUGGGGAGGGGAAUAUCAAAUGCUGUAUAUCUGAAGAGAAAUGGGUUCUGUAGCUCUCUGUAGUUCUAAAGGUUUCUCAAUUUAUUUACUCAUUAAUAUAGCAAAGAGAUGCUCAUGAUUUUCUGUUUUCUGCUGCCAGAUCUUGGUGUUUGGGUUUUUUUUUUUUAAUUUUAGCAAAUUCUAAAUUAGAAAACAUGCAUUGUCUAGAGAAGAAAGAAAAUUUGAAUAAAAAUUAUCUAUUGGUUCUGCAACCCAGGUGUCAUUGAAUUUAAAGUUUUGAGGAUGUUACAGGAAAAAACAUAAUGGAGUUACAUUAAAUUAUAGGGGAAAUGUACAUGAGUUUUCAGGGAAGAUUGAUUUAAGUAGUAUUUGUUAAGAUUGAACUCAAGUCUGUUGCAGAAACAAUUUUCUAAGUUGGAAGGACAAACUUUAGUUAGUAUAGGUGAAGUAAACCUUAAUAUUUUCUGCCUCUGAGUGUGAGUGGAAUGAUAAGAGUAGCAGCAGUAGGCCUAGUGAUGCAGUAGAAUCUUCUGUGUUUAGGUGCCAUUGCAAUAGGUGGUUUCUUUACUGUAGCAGAGAAAAAGCUAGUUUUGGUGCUGUACUGCUCUGAGGCUGCUUCUGUCAUUUGUCUCAAACUAGAGACUAGAUGCAUGGCAACAUCUUAAACAGAAAGCUUUUUCCACAAUAGGUGUACCCCUGUUUGGCACUGGCAGCACUGGUAAUGUUAACUCUGUCCAACGGCUGAGUUAUUCUAUUAAUAUUUUGGGAUUAAGAAUGGGAAUGUUUAUUGUUACUUUAAAAUUUCUUUGACUAACUCUUUAAAACUUCUGUCCCUAGUGUGUAUCAUCUGGGUAUAAAAUGGAGAACCUAAACCCUACUUUGUCUGAAUGAAAUUGAGGGCAUACCUUCCCAAGAUUUGGAUAGGUUGAUUUCUACUGGGUAAUGUGAACACUCCUGUUUCAUCUACAGCUGUUUGGUGGUAGAGCCUUCAGCAGAUCCAGGGAAAAGGCAUUAAAUGUUAUGUGCUACAAAAUUAAAUUUUCAGAUGUAUAUUGUGAGCAUAAUAGCUGUAUGUCUGAGAGAAAAAUCUUGCUUCUCUUGUUGCAGCAAGUGGCAGGGUGCAUUUAAGCUAGGUUCAUGAAAUGGUUUCCAGCAUAAGUAGCAGAGUGUCCUUAAGGCUAUAUUUAGUAAAACUAAUCAAAUUCGGAAAAAAACCAAAUUAGUACUGCUGCAGUCCUGAAGUCUAUGGCUGCUUCUACCAACCUCCUCCCCAUGCCUACUACUUUCAUUGGUUUUGCAAGUACAGUAAAAACCUGUUUUGAGGAGAUGAUUGGGCUGGCAUGGGAUUUGGAGAACCCAUAAUUAAUACUUCUACUCUCAUAUUAUUUCUAGGCGCUUAUGUAACUUUUAAAUACAUGGAGAAACUAAGACUCUCAGUCCUGCUUUUUGUUUAAUUUUAAUUAGCUGUUUCUAUUCUGGGAGAUACUGGCAUACAUAAAGCACUGUUGCAUGUCGCAGGGUUUUCUAAGGCUUUGUUUACCUGCUUUAUUAGGCUUGGGUGAAAUGGUAGUACCUGUAGUUAACAAUUUCUUUGGUUUACAAGGGGGUAUAUCCAAAUGGCAGCAUCAUGAUAUUGUGGCAUAAAACUCUGAAUUCUGGCAUGCUCAGUCUUGACUCGUAAGCUUGCGUGCCUGUUCUUGCCCUGGCAUUGAGGCUGCUAUAGUAUUAGAAACCAGUGCUGUCAAUCACAGCUGCUUCAGUUUGUGGUGUUCUACUUAAUCUUUUACGUAACCUACCGGGGAUUACUGACUUCUCACUUGCUGUAAUACAGGAUUUUAAAACCACUUUUUUAAAUUGAAAAACUAUUUAAACCCCCCCCCCCGCUCUGCAUAUUUUUCUCUUCUUGGCUUGAUUAGACCCUUUUUGAAGCAGGCAAACAAAUAUUCAGAGUAUAUGGUCACUCUUUAUAAGCAUAGAGUGGACAGCAACUGCCUCAAAUUCUCACAGCUGGAAAUUCUGCUUUUCUACCACUCUGGUCCAAGUAGCUCCAUUUCCCAAACACACUUGACAAGGUCAUUCACCAGUGACCACUGAAGAAUCUUACCUUUCACAGGAUGUUUGGGAAAGCACUCUCACAGAUGGACAGAUAAUUUAGAACGUUGUAAACCUAGUAAGUUUAAGUCAUCAGUUUUUGCAGUGGACAGAGAUUAUAAGGAUGUGUUCUUGCUUCCAUUCUAUUCCACAUACACAUCUUUUAACAAUAUUAACAGCAAACUUUCUCCAUUCUAUUUUAUUCAUCAUCAUAAAGAAGGCUGAACUUAAUUGCUGAUGAGCUCUUAUUUUCCUGAGUAACUAUGUGAUGAACUGAUGUGUGUGUGGAAAAAGCUCUCUCACCUAGAAUAGUUAGUUCUGAGCUGAUGGGGUUUUGGGGAAUAAAAUAUUACAAAUAUAAUAGCUAAUUCUGUCAAAAUGUUAGAUAUAAGCUUGAGGAUAGUUUAAAAAAAUACACAAUAUCCAAAAUGGAGAAACAUUUUUAACACUGAGGUAAUCCCAUUGUACAGAUCUUAAAUGCGGGAUAACCAGAAAACUAAGAGGAAAAAAUGGCCGUCCUCAUGGGAAGUAUGGAAGAGCUUCCAUAUGAGAAUUGGCUGAAUAGAUGAGGACUGUUGGUCCUGGGAAAGACGCAGUGGGAGGAGAUGGGUAUGGUAGAGGUUAAUACAGACUUGAGCUCCUGGAGAAGGCAGUUGGGCAAGAGUCUGUUCACCAAUCGCACUAGAAGCAAGGGAGAUGAGGCGAAGCUAGCAGGUGACAAACUCUGACAAGAGGGGAUAUCCUGCAGAAUGUCUGGAUACUGAGUUUGUGGCUGCAAAAAGUGCCUCAGCCAAGUUCAUGGAAGAAAACUUCAUUAAGGACUGUUAAAUAGAAAUGUACUGUCUGUGCUCCAGGCGUUCUCCAAGACACAAAUUCCUGGAGCCUGAUGGAGUAUUUUGCAGAGUUUGCAGUCAGUCUGUGGAGUGCUCCGAGGACCUGGGUACCUCAGUUUUUUAAGGCUUUAUAUGUGAAGCAGUCAGAAUUGCAGGCAGAAAUCAGCAGGGCAGCAGAAGAGCUGCCUAUGGGUGUGUAAUAAACUAGUAUUAUAUGUCAGGUUGAUGAUGGGUUUCUUAUUUAUAAAGCUGUCUGCUAGGUGUUUAUUGCAUUGCUCUGUAAGGAUGUAGACAUGUUGAAGGUAUUCAUGUAAUUUGACUUGCUUUUGGAGAAGCUAGCUGCAAAACACUUGAGCUAUUAAAUUUUUUUCUUCAGGAUGGGAGUUGCACCUUGUUUGUAUAGUCCUAGUACAAAGGGAUUUUAAUUGUACUUGUGCCUGGAAGCACCAGUUAGAAUACAGAUUGCAUAUAACAAUUCAUAUAGAAUAGAUCAGGCAACUUAU